AUGCUCACGACAGCCCAGACAGCAGUCCAACUGAGUGCUCAUUCAACAUCAACUCUGUGCCCAGUAGAGGAGGCAAGGCAUAGAAAACAACUGGAGAUGAAUCAACAGCUGCAUCAGGUUCAGCAGACAUUCAGCUGUAUCUCGCCCUACCCUGGGUGGGGCAGGCAUCCCACUGGUUCUCGCAGGUUGGAUGUCUACAAGGUGAGUAGAUUUUCACCCGAUCCCCUCCUCACAUGUUCGCUCUGUGUCUCUGUGCCAAAAGAAUCUACCGUCUCCGUUGCUUUGAGUCACAUUCCCAAAUGGGCCCAGCCUUUGUAUAUGCCACGUGCCAGGAAUAAGUGGGGUAAGGGACAAAGCCUAUGAGCCUGGCUUCAGAUUUUUGGCUGAUGACCUAGUCAGUUCCCAUGUGAGAGCCCCAGCAGAGACUGUAGAACCUUUCUCCUCUGUAUCCAACAUUAUCUGCGUGUAUUUCUCUGUCCACGACUGGAGGAAUCAGUCACGACUCUCCAUGGUCACCAGCACGUGACCUUGAAAAACAGUGGGGAUGGGAGGGGGUCAAGUGCAAUGAGUGGGUGAUCCUGAGUACCACUUGGCGGAAAAUAUGUUCCAAACUUUUAUCAAGGCUACUGACAAAGUACCUGAUUGUCCUCUUUGAUUUUAAUUUCCUUUUUCUGCCUCUUCCUAAGCCUCCAGGGAAUGAACAAAUAACAAAGGAAAUGGCUGACAAAGGGAAAAUUAUGAUGUGAGAAUUUCACUAAAGAAUUUAGCCCACUUUACUCUGUUCGCAAAGGCCCUGGAAUUGGCCCCGAACUGGGGUUUAGGGAAUCUAUCAUUUGUUCCCACGGUGUCCUUAUUAGCCAGGCAACCUGGGCAGAGUUUAAACCUCAAGGAUCUUCCUGUUCUCAUCUGUCAAAUUGGGCUAAUGAUGUCAAUCCACCCCACGAGUCUUUCUACUGUCGGUGUCCCAGGUAAGGAAAGGAUUGUAUGAGUCAUGGAAAGUAAGGUUACACUUGUUCCCUGCUGAAAGUCACAUGCUCACCUCCAGGUCCUG
rnacentral:lncRNA from 1 species